rnacentral:misc_RNA from 1 species
UCCAAUUACAAAUUCUAAUUGAUCUACAUCAUUCACAUCAUCAAGAACAAGCAAAACCCUUUUGCGCUGGAGCCUAUCCUUAAUGGAAAUGGAUCCUAUGUUGGGAGUGGUAACAUGUAGAUGCUCUUCAUCCAGUAUUUCAGAAAGGAGUUUUUCUCUUAAACAAACAAGCCCACCAAAUUGCUUUGAUUCUUCCUUAACAUUUUCAAGAAAGCAGCAAGCUUCAAAUUGACUUGAGAGUGUAUUGAAAAUAGCUCCAGCAAUAGUCG